rnacentral:rRNA from 1 species
AGUGAACGCUGGCGGUAGGCCUAACACAUGCAAGUCGAACGGCAGCACAGUAAGAGCUUUCUCUUACGGUUUGCGAGUGUCGUACGGUUGAUGAAUACAUCGGAAUCUACUUUUUCUUGUUGGAUAACGUAGUUAAACUUACGCUAUUACCUCAUACUACCUACGGUUGAAUGCAGUGGAUCUUCGCACCUUUCUCGUUUUAAUGAGCCGAUGUCGGAUUAGCUAGUUGGCGGGGUAAAGGCCCACCAAGGCGACGAUCCGUAUCUGGUCUGAUAGGAUGAUCAGCCACACUGGAAGUGAGAAACGGACCAGACUACUACGGGAGGAAGAAGAGGGGAAUAUUGGACAAUGGGCGAAAGCAUGAUCCAGCAAUACCGCGUGGGUGAAGAAGGCCUUCGGGUUGUAAAGCCCUUUUGUUGGGAAAGAAAAGCAGCAGGUUAAUAACACGAUGUUGUGACGGUAACCAAAGAAUAAGCACCGGCUAACUUCGUG